UUCGAGUGCUUAUCGCCAACAUUUCACAGCAAGCUCAGCAGCAGAACCAACUUCAACCACAACAUCAGAAAAUUAAGAUUUCUUCAAGACCAUGACCAUCAUCCUAAAGGUCGGUAGCAAUAACGUUCAACCGACGGUACAACCUGGUCAGUGCAAUAGAUCCAAGCCAAAUGUAGAAGACCAUUGACCAACUGCAUAAAAGAUAGCAACAGAACAUUCAAACACAUUAGCAGCAGCAUACUAUACUGUACCAGGUGUGCAGGAGGACUUUUUUAUUCAGUUGGUGCGGCAAGAUCGAACACCAACAACAUAAUAUCAUGGUAAUCACCCAGCAAGAGAACGCAGUGAUAAUGGGCCAACAGAAAACACAACAUCAAGAUGCUCGGAAAGGACUUUCUCUUUCGAACAAACAUAAUGGCACGUCAUGUUCAAUCGGCUAACCGUUUGGAAUAAGCGCUCAUCAUCGGUUUCAUGGCAGGGAAGUGAGCAGGCAAAAGAAGGCAUCUUUUUUUCGCAAGGUCGCUCUGGUCAAAAUUUCAGCGAAUUGCAAGGAAUAAACCACCCGAGGAACAGUACCCGUGCUGAUUCAGGACGAUUUCCCAUACUUUGUACCUUGCUAUUGAAUUUUAAUACCCGAUCGAAACGAUGGCAAGCGCUGCCGAUAACUGGGUCAAAAAGACGACGGAUCAAGAAAUUUCUGCACUCGGUUAGCGAACUGACCACAUAUCACCAAGGAUAAGGAUUCAGAGCCGGCGGCUGGCAGUCCAGAGAAAGAGAAUGCGGAAAAACCUAGUCCACCGGCAGUAGAACCAAAGCUGUACCUGAUGUUUGGAGCUCGGUAGCUACGGAAAUUCUGACUCUAGCAGCUCCUGAAGAAAAACAAGCUGCAAGAGAAAAUGGAAACACCUUCCUCCGCGGAAGAUGCAGAGGUCGAAAUCUGCAGAUAAUUUUGAUUAGGACAUAAGCCUCUCUUUGUUUACUUUCGAUUAUGACGUCACUAUAACACUUUGCACUAAUUUUCCAGUACAUAGCCGAUGGUUUUUACUAAAAUAUUAGGCAAAGAGUUGAGUACUAAAUAUUGAAACAACCGAGUAACAAACAGAAGAGAAAGACCCCAAAGAGAACCUCAUUGUUGCUUACGUCCUAUUCUAAAUUUUCUCCCGAAAUAUUUAGUGUCAGCCUUAAAAUUAUUCAUGACUAAUCUUUUAGCCCGGCGGAUGCAAGUUUGCUAAUGAAAGAUGUUCGCUAAGGUCUAGUAGAAUCAAAGCUGGAUCUGAAGGUGCAGCGGAAGGAUUCUUCUUCGCCGGUUGGUUGGUUAAAACUUUCGAAGCUUUGCACGUGAAGCCGGAAUUACUUUAGGGAGUCUAUGCGAUGGGUUUCAACGCCCUUUCCAAGAUUCAGGAGAUGGCUCUACCUACUCUGUUGGCCGGUCCGCCACGGAAUCAUCGCCCAGAGUCAGCCGGGAACAGGAAAAACCGCUGCCUUCGUGCUGGUAAUGCUCAGUUGAGUCCAUCAGUUAAAAAACUAUCUGCAGGUGAUUUGCCUUUCCCCCACGUAUGAGCUGGCAAUUCAGAAGGGGGAAGUAGCUGCCAAAAUGGCAAAGUUUUGUCCGGAAAUCAAACUUCCUUACGCCGUUCGCGGUGAGGAGAUCGUCAAAGGGGCGAAGCUGACUAAUCAUAUCAUCAUCGGAACACCCGGCAAGCUAAUGGACUGGGGUAUAAAGUUCAGGACGUACGACCUAGUUUUCCCUUUUUGUACUAGACGAGGCGGUGGUUGGUGUUCUUCUUGGCCACGUACGAGCGCGAGAUGAUGGAGUUUGCCGAGCACAUCGUACCCAAUCCGAUCGUCAUUCGGCAGGCGCGGGAGCAAGAAUCACUCGAUAACAUCAAACAGUACGUCAAGUUCCGCAACCAGGACGAGAAAUUGUGUGAUUACCGUCGGACAAGCGAUCAUUUUCUGUCAUAUGAUGUAUAGGACAGUUGUAAACUCCAAGUAAACUUAUUUUCAGAACUGUUAAUCGAUCGAAACAGGUACGCAAAACGGCCGGUUGGUUGACCGGCAGGAUGUCCCAGGAUGGUCACUCGGUAACGGUACUGUCCAGUGAUCUAACGGUGGAGCAACGGUUGGACGCUCUGGAUCGAUUCCGGACUAGAGAAGGUACAGAUUAUAACGAAUGUUUUGUCCAGGGGUAUCGACGUCGAACAGGUGACCAUUGUCGUCAACUUCGACCUGCCGAUGGAUCAGUAGGGACGAGCCGAUUGCGAAACGUAUCUACAUCGAAUUAGACGCACCGGUAGAUUCGAACGAAUCACUAUCAACCUAGUGGGCAGUGAUCGAAGCAUGACGAUUUGCAGAUCAAUCGAAAAACACUUCCGGAAAAAGAUUCAGUUGCUAGACGCGGAGAACUCGGAUGAAAUUGAAAAGAUCGCACCGUAAAGUGUUUUCGACCAGCUACUGGUGAAAGGCGUAGGAGCUUUUUUGGGUCAUACUUGUUUUGAUUCUAAAUUUAUAAUUUUAUUAUAUUUUUAUUUUUUUUCUUCCUUGACCUGACAUAAGGUAUACAAAUGUAACCAACAGGGUAUCGUAAGCUAAUAAAUUUACAAUUACAAUUUAUCUCUACCCAGUUCUAUCCAAACAUUUGAAAAGGGCCUAACUGCAAAAUGUAACAAAUUGAAAUUUCAUGUUUUCCAUUAACAAAUAUCUACCCGAGCACGUACAUAACGCAACAUUUGAUCAUGAAGAAUUUUGAUAGCGAUUUUACCACAAUUUAUAAAAGGGCCUAAUUGAUUUUUAUGACCGAACUGAUUAUGUAAGGACCUAACUGAUUGAAAAGUGCCUAACUAGCAAUACACUCGUUUUAAAUGGAUUAUAACGUAUUAUUGUAUUAUGACUGAUUGUAAAAGGCUUAUAACAUCUUUUCCAUAAUUUACAUACAGGGUCAAUCUGACCAUCAAAUUAGAAUUCAGUUAAUUCGUCUAACUUUCGGUGUAAUAUCAGACUUGAACAGCAUUUUUUGUGUGAGGUAAUCUGCCGCUAGAAGCAUAAC